rnacentral:misc_RNA from 1 species
GGAAGAAGGAGUGCUCAAUAUUUAGGUUUAGUCAUUUGUAUGCAAUGUACAUGUUUUAGUCAUAAAAAAAGACUCAUAAACAUGUAGUCCACAUGAGCGGAUAUAAUCUAACUUGUGUUUGAUGUUAGCUUGCAUUACAGAUGUUGCACCAGUUCCCAUAUGUUGACACAUUCAGGUAUUUGUUAUGUUGCUUAAGAUAUCUCAAUCGACACUGUCAACUUGCUUUUAAGCCUUACACCUAUUUAUACUAAAUCACCAAUUAUCUAACUUUGAUGAAAUUAGCAUUUUUGUGAACGAGCCCCCCGACAUUGUGUCUCCCCCUCCCUCGUUUGGCAUUUGGGUUCGUUGAGACGGAGAGUUC